rnacentral:rRNA from 1 species
UACACGACCGUACCGCAAACCGACACUGGUGCGCGAGAUGAGUAUUCUAAGGCGCUUGAGAGAACUCAGGAGAAGGAACUCGGCAAAUUGACACCGUAACUUCGGAAGAAGGUGUGCCUUUAGUAGGUGAACCUGUACAAGGGGAGCCCAAUGAGGUUGCAAAAAAUCGGUGGCUGCGACUGUUUAAUAAAAACACAGCACUCUGCAAACACGAAAGUGGACGUAUAGGGUGUGACGCCUGCCCGGUGCUGGAAGAUUAAAUGAUGGGGUGCAAGCUCUUGAUUGAAGCCCCAGUAAACGGCGGCCGUAACGAUAACGGUCCUAAGGUAGCGAAAUUCCUUGUCGGGUAAGUUCCGACCUGCACGAAUGGCGUAACGAUGGCCACACUGUCUCCUCCUGAGACUCAGCGAAGUUGAAAUGUUUGUGAUGAUGCAAUCUCCCCGCGGAAAGACGGAAAGACCCCAUGAACCUUUACUGUAGCUUUGUAUUGGACUUUGAACAGAUCUGUGUAGGAUAGGUGGGAGGCUUUGAAGUGUGGUCGCUAGAUCGCAUGGAGCCAACGUUGAAAUACCACCCUGGUGUGUUUGAGGUUCUAACCUAGGCCCGUAAUCCGGGUCGGGGACAGUGCAUGGUAGGCAGUUUGACUGGGGCGGUCUCCUCCCAAAGCGUAACGGAGGAGUUCGAAGGUACGCUAGGUACGGUCGGACAUCGUGCUAAUAGUGCAAUGGCAUAAGCGUGCUUAACUGCGAGACUGACAAGUCGAGCAGAUGCGAAAGCAGGACAUAGUGAUCCGGUGGUUCUGUAUGGAAGGGCCAUCGCUCAACGGAUAAAAGGUACUCUGGGGAUAACAGGCUGAUACCGCCCAAGAGUUCAUAUCGACGGCGGUGUUUGGCACCUCGAUGUCGGCUCAUCUCAUCCUGGGGCUGUAGCCGGUCCCAAGGGUAUGGCUGUUCGCCAUUUAAAGAGGUACGUGAGCUGGGUUUAAAACGUCGUGAGACAGUUUGGUCCCUAUCUUCCGUGGGCGCUGCAGAUUCGAGGAAGCCUGCUCCUAGUACGAGAGGACCGGAGUGGACACACCUCUGGUGUAUCGGUUGUCACGCCAGUGGCAUUGCCGAGUAGCUAUGUGUGGAAGAGAUAACCGCUGAAAGCAUCUAAGCGGGAAACUCGUUUCAAGAUGAGAUCUGCCGGGGCCUUGAGCCCCCUAAAGAGUCGUUCAAGACCAGGACGUUGAUAGGUCGGGUGUGGAAGCGCAGUAAUGCGUUAAGCUAACCGAUACUAAUUGCUCGUGCGGCUUGAUC